UGGUGCAGGCUGAGCAGGAGCAGGACGCGUCAGGGUGGUUUGAUGUAAUGCAGAAGGUGUCCAACCAGCUGAGAUCCAGUAUCACCAACGUGACCAAACAGAGAGGAGACAAGAAUGCGAUCCACAACC